rnacentral:rRNA from 1 species
GUUCCUUUGUGGCCUGUGUGCAGGUGGUGCAUGGCUGUCGUCAGCUCGUGUCGUGAGGUGUUGGGUUAAGUCCCGCAACGAGCGCAACCCUUGUCUCAUGUUGCCAGCACGUAAUGGUGGGGACUCGUGAGAGACUGCCGCGGUCAACUCGGAGGAAGGUGGGGAUGACGUCAAGUCAUCAUGCCCCUUAUGUCCAGGGCUUCACACAUGCUACAAUGGCCGGUACAAAGGGCUGCAAUGCCGCAAGGUUAAGCGAAUCCUUAUUAAAGCCGGUCUCAGUUCGGAUCGGGGUCUGCAACUCGACCCCGUGAAGUCGGAGUCGCUAGUAAUCGCAGAUCAGCAAUGCUGCGGUGAAUACGUUCCCCGGGC